AUGAGAUCAAGGCAGGUUGACACAAUCCGCAUACUCACAGAGAAAGAGAUAAAGAGAGCCACUGAUAACUAUAAUGAAGAUCGAGUUAUUGGACGUGGUGGUCAUGGUAUGGUCUACAGAGGAACUUUGGAUGACCAAAAAGAGGUUGCCAUAAAUAAGUCUAAAGCAAUCAACAAUGAUUGGAGACAAGAAUUUGUCAACGAGAUUAUAAUCUUGUCACAGAUCAAUCACCGAAACAUUGUGAGAUUACUCGGCUGUUGUCUGGAUGUAGAUGUCCCAAUGUUGGUUUAUGAGUUUGUCUCCCAUGGUACUCUAUCUGAGUUCCUUCAUGGUGCCGCACCUAGAUCUCCAAUCCCAUUCGAUCUUCGCCUGAAGAUUGCUACACAGUCAGCAGAAGCUCUAGCUUACUUACAUUCGUCAACAUCUCGC
rnacentral:rRNA from 1 species